GACGACGCUGGCGGCGUGGAUUAGGCAUGCAAGUCGAACGGUAUCAUCCUUUCGGGGGUGAGAGAGUGGCGAACUGGUGAGUAACACGUAGGUUAUCUACCCUCAAGACGGGACAACCCAGGGAAACUUGGGCUAAUACCGGAUGUGAGCAACUUUUAGUUGUUUGAAAGGUGGCGUAAGCUGUCGCUUGGGGAUGAGCCUGCGUCCUAUUAGUUAGUUGGUGAGGUAACGGCUCACCUAGGCAAUGAUAGGUAGGCGGCCUUAACGGAUGGUCGCCCACACUGGGAUUGAGAUACGGCCCAGACUCCUACGGGAGGCAGCAGUCGAGAAUAGUCUACAAUGGUCGGAAGACUGAUAGUGCGACGCCGCGUGAACGAUGAAUCCCUUCGGGGUGUAAAGUUCUUUUAUAUGUGAGCAGUGCUUCUUAUAUUAACAGUAUGGGGAGAGAGAUAUUAGCAUAUGAAUAAGCAACGGCUAACUCCGUG
rnacentral:rRNA from 1 species